CUGUUUCCAGUGUGCUAAUAAACUAGAAAUCAUUAUUCAAAUAAUUCUAAUAAAUAAUAACUAACAUAAAUUUAUUUAAUCAUAUAUAUGAUAUUCAGGAAUAUAUGAAAUUAGUUCUGCAUAUUUGUUGAACAAUAUACCUUUGCUUCUUGCUUAUCCAUGGUAUCUGAGGGUUGCUCCAUUAUCUAUUAAGUAUGAAUAUUUAAAUAUUUGAGAGAGUGUUUAUGAAAGCUUGCUUCGGUU
rnacentral:lncRNA from 1 species